ACAAAAAAAGUUAUGUUUGUCCUGUUUUAGUAAAAUCUUUUUGAAAAAAACAUGAAGAUCUGCCAGAUCUGGUCACAAAUACAUGUACAUGAUGUAUGAAAAGAAGAUUAUUACAUCAAUAAAUAAUGAACUGGUAACAUUCACAAAAAAAGACUGAAUGACCAGCAUUCACAGUAGGUACUAAAGGUGCAAUACCAACUUUCCCAAGACGGUACAAAAUGACCAGCAUUCACAAAUAGAGGUACUAAAGGUGCAAUACCAACUUUCCCAAGACGAUACAGAAUGACCAGCAUUCACAAAUAAGACAACACAAAAUAUUACCUGUAUCAUUAAAACAUGAAAUAAGAUACCAAAGAAUGACAUGUAAUAGAGCACAUCUUUCUAGGUAAACACAUGUUUGUGUUAACUAUACUAAACAUUCAAUCUUUAAAAACU
rnacentral:lncRNA from 1 species